rnacentral:rRNA from 1 species
UGGGGAAUACUGCACAAUGGGGGAAACCCUGAUGCAGCGACGCCGCGUGGAGGAAGAAGGUCUUCGGAUUGUAAACUCCUGUUGUUGAGGAAGAUAAUGACGGUACUCAACAAGGAAGUGACGGCUAACUACGUGCCAGCAGCCGCGGUAAAACGUAGGUCACAAGCGUUGUCCGGAAUUACUGGGUGUAAAGGGAGCGCAGGCGGGCGAUCAAGUUGGAAGUGAAAUCCAUGGGCUCAACCCAUGAACUGCUUUCAAAACUGGUCGUCUUGAGUAGUGCAGAGGUAGGCGGGAUUCCCGGUGUAGCGGUGGAAUGCGUAGAUAUCGGGAGGAACACCAGUGGCGAAGGCGGCCUACUGGGCACCAACUGACGCUGAGGCUCGAAAGUGUGGGUAGCAAACAGGAUUAGAUACCCUGGUAGUCCACACCGUAAACGAUGAUUACUAGGUGUUGGGAGAUUGACCCUCUCAGUGCCGCAGUUAACACAAUAAGUAAUCCACCUGGGGAGUACGACCGCAAGGUUGAAACUCAAAGGAAUUGACGGGGGCCCGCACAAGCAGUGGAGUAUGUGGUUUAAUUCGACGCAACGCGAAGAACCUUACCAAGUCUUGACAUCCUCUGACGAACGUAGAAAUACGUUUUCUCUUCGGAGCAGAGAGACAGGUGGUGCAUGGUUGUCGUCAGCUCGUGUCGUGAGAUGUUGGGUUAAGUCCCGCAACGAGCGCAACCCUUAUGGUCAGUUACUACGCAAGAGGACUCUGGCCAGACUGCCGUUGACAAAACGGAGGAAGGUGGGGAUGACGUCAAAUCAUCAUGCCCUUUAUGACUUGGGCUACACACGUACUACAAUGGCGUUAAACAAAGAGAAGCAAGACCGCGAGGUGGAGCAAAACUCAGAAACAACGUCCCAGUUCGGACUGCAGGCUGCAACUCGCCUGCACGAAGUCGGAAUUGCUAGUAAUCGUGGAUCAGCAUGCCACGGUGAAUACGUUCCC